GACGAACGCUGGCGGCGUGCUUAACACAUGCAAGUCGAACGGAAAGGCCCUGCUUUUGUGGGGUGCUCGAGUGGCGAACGGGUGAGUAACACGUGAGUAACCUGCCCUUGACUGUGGGAUAACUUCAGGAAACUGGGGCUAAUACCGGAUAGGAGCUCCUGCUGCAUGGUGGGGGUUGGAAAGUUUCGGCGGUUGGGGAUGGACUCGCGGCUUAUCAGCUUGUUGGUGGGGUAGUGGCUUACCAAGGCCUUGACGGGUAGCCUGCCUGGGAGGGUGACCGGCCACGUCGGGACUGAGAUACGGCCCAGCCUCCUACGGGAGGCAGCAGUGGAGAAUAGUGCACAAUGGGCGGAACCCUGGUGCAACACCGCCGCGUGCGGGAUGACGGCCUUCGGGUUGUAAUCCGCUUUCGCCUGUGACGAGGCGUGAGUGACGGUAAUGGGUAAAGAAGCACCGGCUAACUACGUG
rnacentral:rRNA from 1 species